UGUUUUGUCAUCCACCUGCUUCUAAGCUGUAAAAGCAAGCGCAGCAAAGGCAAACCUACCCAGCUUCAAAAUCCAAACAAAGAAAUCUUAGUGGGCUGUUUACAUAUCUGUGGAAGGAAUAUCUGGCUUGUGUUGAUGGGGUGCUUGAGUGAUCAGUUCCCGCACAAUGGACGAGUGGGAAAUCAAAGCCUGGAAUGCUGGGUGAGCUCCGGGGAAACUGAUGGAGGGGUUAUGUCUGGACCGGAGGACGGAUACUUCCUGUUCCUGCUGGAGUGACCUGCUGCUCUAAGGAGGAGCGAGAGACAAAGAAAAGGAACUGGAGAGAGAGAGAGAGUGAGAGUCAUUUCACAGGCUGUUUAUGGGGAUGAGAGGCUGCUGUGAGCUCACCCGAUGGCGAGUUAACCGGUUGGAGGAAAGCCAGUACGGCUCAAACAGCUUCUCUGUGAAUCCUGGGCUCACAUCGAGGCAGGUGAGGAAUGGCUUGGACCUGCAGAGUUAGCUGGAUGUCGUCUUCUCUUGGCUUCAGCCUGGAAAAGUGCUGAUCGUGGCAGGGGUGCAGCAGGGCUGUGCUGGAGGAGCUCUCUCUUGGGCAGAUGUUUGUGCACCACUAGCGGCAUCAAACGGAAUUGCCACAUGUUUGAAAAAGUCACUUCAAAGGCUGGACACAUCCGCCUGAUCCAUUGAAGACAAAUGGGUCUCGAAGCUUCUCACAUGAGACCACAAGCUCAGUCAUGUCAGCUGCCUCCUUUCACCUCUCUCAGGAUGACAGAUACAUCAGGUUUGGGUUCAGCUUCAGGGCCUCAGGAGAGAGAGGGAGCUGCUCUCUGCCCGGUCCAGUUUUGAGAGCCUGCCGUUCCGCUGGGAGCUCCGGCUGGUGGCUGUGCCCUGCGCUCUGGCCAUGCGAGAAGCAGUCGACAUAGACCUCUUUGAACCUCUCAAACUGAAGCAUCAUCUAAACGUUUUCAUGAGGCCCCUGUGGUCCGUCCAGUUACGUUGUUUUUUUCCUCUGCGUCUGUUUCUUGUCUAGUCAGAGGACCUGGUGCAAGGAGAAAAACACAGACGAUAACGCUCAGACUAGAGAGACUUGCAUGUAAGUCUUUGUUUUAGAGUUGUUUUUUAUUACAUGAGCGCAGAUGAAACCCGUGCGCACAAGCUCGUGCACCCACGCAUGCUCAUUGACAGAAGCGCUGUAUUUUUCAUUAUCAGACUCUGUACCCUGCUGUGCCUUGUUCUGGUCUCAGUGUGUGUAGAUCAGGCCUGCAUUAUCUUGAGAGUAGAUUUGCUCAUAUUUGCUGAUGGCUUCUUUUUUAACAAUGGUCCAUCAGGCUGCUAUCAUCAAAGGUCCUGGUUUUAGGUUGAAUGGCUGCAUCUUGGGAGCACAUUAGCCUGUGUGUGCAUGACCUGGUUGUGUGGCUUUGAUGUGCCUUUGUUCUCUGACCCAUUUGAGUCUUGGCUGGGCAUGUGGUGUGCCUGUAAAAUGAGGGUGGCUGAAAAUCCACAGAUCUGGGUAUCUCCGUAUUGAGCUGAAAGGGCAGUUUACGACAACACGCAGGACAUAAAGGAAGUUGCGUGCAGGGAAAUGGAUCGUGUAUCUAUUGAGUAACAAAAAAAAUCUGUGUUUUUCGGUUAUACAUUUGUUCAAAAGUUGAAUCCUUUUUUGGGACUGAACCGCAUGUCAUAACAUUCACUCUACCUUGAUGUAAAUGAUAGCAUUUUUAAUUAAAGCCCACUUUAUAUUGCACAAAGCUUAGUGUUGUUUCAUUCACAUCACUUGUCUGUAAUUAACUCUGAAACUCUUCGAAAACUCAACAUUCAACAUUAAAUCUGUUGUGACAAACACUCGUGGCUUUAUUAACCCUGAGUUAGGACGGUUUUCAUUUUAAAAGUGUGGAACGAGUCAAACUUUCUUUUCGCCUUUACUGUAGACAAGCAGCGUUCAAAAACACAUUUGAAAAAAAAACGA